ensembl:lncRNA
GCAGGGUGAGGUAGGACUAGACAGGGCAGGGUGAGGUAGGACUAGACAGGGCAGGGUGAGGUAGGACUAGACAGGGUGAGGUAGGACUAGACAGGGCAGGGUGAGGUAGGACUAGACAGGGCAGGGUGAGGUAGGACUAGACAGGGCAGGGUGAGGUAGGACUAGACAGGGUGAGGUAGGACUAGACAGGACAGGGUGAGGUUGGACUAGACAGGGCUGGGUGAGAAAUGGUAGGGCUAGACAGGGCAGGGCAGGGUUGUGCUAGACAGGGCAGGGUGAGGUAGUGCUAGACAGGGCAGGGUGAGGUAGGGCUAGACAGGGCAGGGUUGUGCUAGACAGGGCAGGGUGAGGUAGGGCUGUGUGUGAAGCGUUCCCCUCUCUUGGGCUGUGUCUUGUGGAGAGCUGCCCCUCCCGAACAGUCCCCAUGGACAUCCCUGUCUGUCUCGACUCACAAAGCCUCUCAAUGAUUUCCUGUCUACUGCUGGCAAUCGAGACGCCCUCCCCCUCCCUUCCAUCACC